UACGGGGGGGGCAAGCGUUGUUCGGAAUUACUGGGCGUAAAGGGCGCGUAGGCGGUUCGCUAAGUUGGAUGUGAAAACUCUGGGCUCAACCCAGAGCCUGCAUCCAAAACUGGCGGGCUAGAGUUCUGGAGGGGGUAGCGGAAUUCCACGUGUAGCAGUGAAAUGCGUAGAGAUGUGGAGGAACACCGAUGGCGAAGGCAGCCCCCUGGGUCAAGAUUGACGCUCAUGCACGAAAGCGUGGGGAGCAAACAGG
rnacentral:rRNA from 1 species